CCUACGGGAGGCAGCAGUGGGGAAUAUUGGACAAUGGGCGAAAGCCUGAUCCAGCAAUGCCGCGUGAGUGAUGAAGGCCUUAGGGUUGUAAAGCUCUUUUACCCGGGAUGAUAAUGACAGUACCGGGAGAAUAAGCCCCGGCUAACUCCGUGCCAGCAGCCGCGGGUAAU
rnacentral:rRNA from 1 species